rnacentral:tRNA from 1 species
GCGUUGGUAGCACAGUGGUAGAAUGCUUGCCAACCAUGCAGGUGGUUCGGGGUUCGAUCCCCGGCCGACGCA